ACGAGUGGCGGACGGGUGAGUAAUGCUUGGGAACUUGCCUUUGCGAGGGGGAUAACAGUUGGAAACGACUGCUAAUACCGCAUAAUGUCUACGGACCAAACGGGGCUUAGGCUCCGGCGCAAAGAGAGGCCCAAGUGAGAUUAGCUAGAUGGUGAGGUAAAGGCUCACCAUGGCAACGAUCUCUAGCUGUUCUGAGAGGAAGAUCAGCCACACUGGGACUGAGACACGGCCCAGACUCCUACGGGAGGCAGCAGUGGGGAAUAUUGCACAAUGGGGGAAACCCUGAUGCAGCCAUGCCGCGUGUGUGAAGAAGGCCUUCGGGUUGUAAAGCACUUUCAGUUGUGAGGAAAGGGUGUUGGUUAAUACCCAAUAUCUGUGACGUUAACAACAGAAGAAGCACCGGCUAACUCCGUGCCAGCAGCCGCGGUAAUACGGAGGGUGCGAGCGUUAAUCGGAAUUACUGGGCGUAAAGCGCACGCAGGCGGUUUGUUAAGCUAGAUGUGAAAGCCCCGGGCUCAACCUGGGACGGUCAUUUAGAACUGGCAGACUAGAGUCUUGGAGAGGGGAGUGGAAUUCCAGGUGUAGCGGUGAAAUGCGUAGAUAUCUGGAGGAACAUCAGUGGCGAAGGCGACUCCCUGGCCGAAGACUGACGCUCAUGUGCGAAAGUGUGGGUAGCGAACAGGAUUAGAUACCCUGGUAGUCCACACCGUACACGCUGUCUACUAGCUGUGUGUGAAUUUAAUUCGUGCGUAGCGAAGCUAACGCGCUAAGUAGACCGCCUGGGGAGUACGGCCGCACGGUUAAAACUCAAAUGAAUUGACAGGGGCCCGCACAAGCGGUGGA
rnacentral:rRNA from 1 species